GGAGAGUAGUGCCUAGAAAUGUUUCCACUAAGAUACUGGGCAUUCCUCUAGGGAUUUGUGGAAUUUCUUGCACUUUGUACACUUUCCUUGAAGUGGAAGAGAGAACAGUAGCCUGACUCUAGUAUGUUCUGCCUGCAGAUAUCUUAUCAAGGGAGUGAACCCAAUUGACUUUGGAGGAUUCUACAAUUCUAGAGCAUUUCUUGGUUGCUUGGGAGUAAACAAGAAGAAAACAGAAAGUAGAAGUUGGUUGCAGAAGGAACUGAAGAAAGGGAUUUGGGAAAAAGCAGAAGGUCCAGAAUACUGAAGGUCCCAGUGAAGCUGAAAAGCUGUCACGGUGGAAGUGGCUGAAAAAGCAAGCUGGAAGACAAGGAGCUUAUGAACGAGGAUUUUGAAAGUGAAAAAAUUACAGAUGAUGACAAGAUCCAAGAUGUGGCUCUGGAAGAAUAUGACUGAUAUGGCAUGGGGUGACAAUGGCCUCAUUGUGAUUUCACACCCAAGGAGGAGAAAGAGGGCUGAUGAGGAUGGUCAGCUUCAGUGCACUCAUGACCAAAUGCUGGGAGGUAGAAAUUACAGUGAAGGAAGGUGCCCAAAAGAGAAAAUAAAUAAACUCGAGCAAGCUGAUUUUAAAGUUACCCCAUGGGAUAGAAAUAUUUAUUAUCUCCUCAGUUACGAAUGCUUAAACUCAUUUGAACCUUUAUAACAACUCUUAUCUGGAUGAGAAGAGGAAUUAAAUCUGUCAUGGCAACGUUGCACAGCUGGAAACCGGCAGAGGAGGAGUUUUCAACGAAGGCCACUAACUGCAAAGCCCAGUUCUUGACCACUCUGCUCUGCUGUCUCUUCUUAUCAGGUUUCUGACAGGAAAUCAGUAAGUUGUGUUUGCCUUCCAUAAAUGGGAAAAUAAGUGAUUUGUUCCAAACUGCCACAAUUUAUGGAAUGCCCAGGUUAAUAUGCAAUUAACAAAAGCUAAAGUAGUUUAGAAGGCAAGAAUUUUCUGUAUAGUUCUUACAUAUGAAAAAUAAUAACUAAUAUCUAAUAUCUUUACAGCACUAAUUAUAAUAUCAGGCAUUCUUAUUAAGUACCUUACCCUUUGACGCUUUUAAUUCACACAACAACCUAAAGAAGUAGGAACCAUUAUUAAACCCAUUUUAUAGACAAGAAAACUGAGGCACAGGGAGAGGAAGUAACUUGCCCAAGAUCACACUUCGAGGAAGUAAGGGGACUUUACAUUCAGGUGGUCUUGUUCCAGAAUCUGCUGCUUUGCACCGUACUCUCUUCCCCUUCUCCUGACACCUAGGAACUGAGUACCAAGCCUCUUGGUGAAACUCCAGGGCUUGAGUUGAAGUCCCUUAUCUUUUGAGUGAUACAAACCAAACAAAUAAUGCGUGAGAUCAGCUAAUAAGAGAUCAUGGAAACACUGAGUAGCAGACAAAAUUGAAGACAAAAUUAGUAAUUUUAUCAUGAGAAUAUGACCUAAUCUGGAGCUACAUAUGGUUCAGAUUGAAUCCAAACUCAUGGAAUUUCAACAAAUUUCCCCCCCUUCUUUUUGCUUUCACUGUGAAGUCUAUGUUGGCAAGACAAAUAUUACUCACUUUGUGUGUAUCUGUUUGAUGGCAUUUCCUCUCUUUUGUUCUUUCACGCCAAAUUCAUAAUAGAAUACUGCAGGUACUCAGGCAAUUUCUUGUAUAAUUCUGUAGAACUCUGGCUGAUUUGCUUCUAUGUGGUCAAAUUUGGAAUUCAAGACUGAGAGUAGGGAAAAGACCACCAUAUGUUCAUCCUGAUGCAAAAAAAUUACUGUUUUAACAAGCUUGGAUCAUCCAAGCUGGAGACACUGGGCGACUGAGACUACGCAAUAGACUUGGCUGGUGUAAUAAUAACAAGGCAGGUCAUAGCAGCACCAAGCUUUCCAACUUCUGGGGUGACUCAUUUUGUCCAUAUGGCUAUCCAAUUGACCCUGCACCAUUUGGUGAUAUGACCACCUUUCUUCCUCUGCACUGCUGUGCUGCCUUUGUUGUAAACCAGGCAACACAUAUGUGUGGGUCUUUAUCAGUGCCAUUCUGUACCAUUUAAUGACUUUGUCUAUUUUAGUCCCAAUACUAUAUUGUAUUAAUUACUACGGCUUUAUAAUAGAUCUUUCAAAUCUUUCUUUUCUUGUCUCUAAUAGCUUUCUUGAAAUGACCGAGACCUGCAUUUCAAUGUUGAAUAUAAAUAGUGAUAGUUAUUUCACUUUUGCUACUAGGCGAAACUCUCCAUAUUUGCUAUUAAAUAUGGGAGUUUUUUUGGUAGAUAUUUUAUUGGUUUCAACAAGCUUGUUGCUAUUGAUAGUUUGCUAAGAGUUUUAAAAAUCAAGUACAUUUGUGUUAUAUUUUGUCAAUUUCUUUUGUAUCUAUUAACAUGAUUACAUGAUUUUUUACUCUUAAUGUGGUGAAUUACAUUGAGUUUUAAAUAUUAACACACUCUUGCCUAUCUGGAAUAAACCUCACUUGAACUUGAUGUAUUAUUUGUUCUCUAUGUUACUGGAUUCAAUUUACUAGUAUUUUCUUACAGACUUUUACAUCUAAGUUCAUGAGAGAGAUUAGCCUAUAAUUUUCCUUCUUUUAGUAAUUUUCUUGUUAGGUUAUGGAGCCAAAGUUUUGCUACCCCCACCCCUCAAAAAAGAGUUAGAUGGUAUUCCUUUUUUUCCAUAAUCUCUGAAACAGUUUGUAUAAGAUUGGUAUUAUUUUAUCUAUAAAUGUUUGGAUGAAUUCACUAAUGAAACGCUCUGGGCCUGGAUCCUUCUUGUGUGAAGGUUUUAUAAUUG
ensembl:lncRNA